GAUGAGCAUUGAUGAACCAUUCUACUGUGUGAGAUUCCAUGCACAGAAAAUGCAGCAAGCAGAGUCACCCUGCAGGAAGACGUUCUCCUUGUCUAGGAGCAAUGAGAAUUUCCAAUUCUCUGGGUUGAGAGUGGUGAACCAGAAGGAACAGGAGGAGGAGGAGAAGAAAGAGGAGGAGGAAGAGAAAGAGGAGGAAGAGGAGGAAGAGGAAGAAGAGGAGGAGAAGGUCGGGGGCAUAGUACACAGAGCUUCCUUUAUGUAUGAUUUUUCAGUCGCUGGGAAGUCACUGAGGGCCCUUAAACAGAGGCAGGUAGCAAUUAAAGUUGCAAGUUAGAAAGCUUAUUUGGCCUGGCUUUCUAAGCCUAUUAGAGGAGAGGGGCUUGAGGUAGUAGCUUAGCUAUGAAGCCAAGAAUCCAGCUCAGCCAAACAGUGAAAAGCUUUGACCGCAUUAUUGGUAGAAAGAAAUGCAGAGAUGUGGAAAAACUCAAGAGGCUUUAUUAAAUAUAGGUCUCAGCAUCAAAGUAGAAGUCAGGGAUGUGAGAAGGAGAGAGAGACAGAGACAGAAAGAGAGAGAGAGAGAGAGAGAGAGAGAGAGAGAGAGAGAGAGAGAGAGUCAGUCAGUUCCGUGAUGGCAGACCAUAUCUCCACUAAGGAAGAGGCCUCAAGAAAACCUACUGAAAUGAAAAUGAAUCCUAAAGAAGGGACAGGGGCAGAGGUGAGAUAAAAACAGAAUAGUGUAGAAACUGAAGAAAAGUGCAUUUACAGAAGGGAAAGGCAGGGAGAGAGGGAAAGGAAGAAUACCAGGAGUAGGUGUGUGUUUCGGUAGAAAAGUUGAAACAGAGAAUGAGGCAGAAUUGGAAAGACACUGAAGAAAUGAGACACCGUAAGCUCACUGUCAAAGAUGUCACCCAAUCGACCUGGUUCUGACAUAAACUUCUAGAAAGUUCCGGAAGCACACCUCACCGCCGGUAUGCAGCCCAGAGCCAUGCCUGUUCCCAUGGCAACGGGGAGGGAGAGACAAAGAGGACCAGAGAGAGCCCUGAGAGAAGCAGAGAACCCAGUGACCUGUGGGAUCUCCCUCAGGUCAUUUGACAAACUCUCUCCUGAGUGUGGACAAAGCAAUUUCUUUAUGGGAAUGUGUACAGUGGUCCUCCCUCAUUUGUGGUUUCAGUGUAUUGAACUUGGCAGGCAACACCAUGCCUCAGUGGCCCCUGCACCCUCUCCACUGUCACCAAAAGGUCAACUGCGAUGGACACUGUGUCACAGGACCAGUGUCAUCAGAGUGCUUCUUCUCAUCAGGUGAGGAGAGGGUCAUCUCGUGUUAUCCCAAGAAAAAGAAAGGUGAAUGCAGAUAAUUAGACAAGAGAGAACAUCUAUGUAACUUUUA